rnacentral:rRNA from 1 species
GGGCGUCUUACCAUGCAGUCGUACCAUGGUACCGUACGGUGGGGAUUAGUGGCGAACGGGUGAGUAACACGUGGGCAAUCUGCCCUGCACUCUGGGACAAGCCCUGGAAACGGGGUCUAAUACCGGAUACUGAUCCUUGCAGGCAUCUGUGAGGUUCGAAAGCUCCGGCGGUGCAGGAUGAGCCCGCGGCCUAUCAGCUUGUUGGUGAGGUAGUGGCUCACCAAGGCGACGACGGGUAGCCGGCCUGAGAGGGCGACCGGCCACACUGGGACUGAGACACGGCCCAGACUCCUACGGGAGGCAGCAGUGGGGAAUAUUGCACAAUGGGCGAAAGCCUGAUGCAGCGACGCCGCGUGAGGGAUGACGGCCUUCGGGUUGUAAACCUCUUUCAGCAGGGAAGAAGCGAAAGUGACGGUACCUGCAGAAGAAGCGCCGGCUAACUACGUGCCAGCAGCCGCGGUAAUACGUAGGGCGCAAGCGUUGUCCGGAAUUAUUGGGCGUAAAGAGCUCGUAGGCGGCUUGUCACGUCGGUUGUGAAAGCCCGGGGCUUAACCCCGGGUCUGCAGUCGAUACGGGCAGGCUAGAGUUCGGUAGGGGAGAUCGGAAUUCCUGGUGUAGCGGUGAAAUGCGCAGAUAUCAGGAGGAACACCGGUGGCGAAGGCGGAUCUCUGGGCCGAUACUGACGCUGAGGAGCGAAAGCGUGGGGAGCGAACAGGAUUAGAUACCCUGGUAGUCCACGCCGUAAACGGUGGGCACUAGGUGUGGGCAACAUUCCACGU